UACAGAGGGUGCAAGCGUUGCUCGGAUUUACUGGGCGUAAAGCGUACGCAGACGGCCACGCAGGUCGGGUGUGAAAGCCCCGGGCUCAACCCGGGAAUUGCAUUCGAAACCAUGUGGCUCGAGUGUGGGAGAGGGUAGUGGAAUUCCUGGUGUAGAGGUGAAAUUCGUAGAUAUCAGGAGGAACACCGGCGGCGAAGGCGGCUACCUGGUCCACAACUGACGUUCAGGUACGAAAGCGUGGGUAGCAAACAGG
rnacentral:rRNA from 1 species